rnacentral:rRNA from 1 species
CCUACGGGUGGCAGCAGUGGGGAAUAUUGCACAAUGGGCGAAACCCUGAUCCAGCAACGCCGCGUGAGUGAUGACGGCCCUCCGGGUUGUAAACUCCUUCUUUAGGGGCGUUAAUCACGGUACGUGUAGGGCUAUCCACGGCUCAAUACGUGCCAGCAGCCGCGGUUACAUGCCAGCGGCCACCGUUGUCCGGAUUUACUGGGCGUAAAGGGGGCGUAGGCGGACUUUUAAGGGAGAUGUGAAAUACGCGGGCGGAACUUGAGUGCUGCAUUGCAAACUGGAAGUCUAGAGUGCAGGAGAGGAGAAUGGAAUUCCUAGUGUAGCGGUGAAAUGCGUAGAGAUGAGGAAGAACCCCAGUGGCGAAGGCAAUUCUCUGGACUGUAACUGACGCUGAGGCUCGAAAGUGUGGGGAGCGAACAGGAUUAGAUACCCCAGUAGUC